CUCAUAUUUAAGCAAGGAAGCAGGAAGUGGUUCCUUUCCCUUUUGCUCUUCUUCCUGCUCUCUGCUGUGAGCCAUCAUGUGAUCCUGGGGAUGAAGAAGCCAGCGGAAGGUGUCUGAUAAGGGUAUCUGUCCCGCGCGAUCGUCUCGCCAGCAAGAAUGACACAGGACACUCAGAUCCUUCUGCAGUAAAGCUUUAAUGCAUCUUGAGAGACAGAUGAUCAGCUUCCGAUUAGGGAGACCCCGAGCCAAGAAUCCCGUCCCCUUAUAAAGGCUCAUAAGCUCCGAGCAGUGCGUGUACAGCUGGGAUAGGUGGAGAACUCAUCACCCUAUAUGACGCCACUGGAGAGGCAAGAUGAGGCAAGUGGAAAAACACUGGGCACAUGCGCACCAACGUUGUUUACUUGAUCCAGCAGCGGAUGUCAGCGCCAUCUUGUAAUGGCGAAUGUGAGUGCGGCUCCUCACAGUAGGUAAACCUGUGGGACAAUUUCCUGAAUAGUGAUUGAUAUGGAGUUCCAAGCCACUAUGUGUGGAUGCCACCCUUGGGCGAGAGAUUCUGGGGUGUACAGGAAAGAAAAUGGAACAAACCAGAAGGAGCAAGUCAGUAAGCAGCACUCCUCCAUGGUCUCAGCUUCAGUUCCUUUCUUCAGCUUCCUGCCCUGCUUGAGUUCCUGUCUUGACUCAUCUCAUUAAGGUCUGGAAGGAAAAAUAAACUCGUUUCUUCAAAAGUUCCUUUUGUCGUGAUGCUCUAUCACAGUAAGAAAAAAUAAAUUAAGAUACUGACAAUAGGCAUACUAUUCUUGGAAAUCAGAUAUUUGACUAAGAUAAUAAAUUGGGGACUGGAGAGACGCUUGGCAGUUAAGAUUUCA
rnacentral:lncRNA from 1 species